rnacentral:precursor_RNA from 1 species
AAAAAAAAGUUGUAGCCACUAUAUAUGUGAGAGAGAACUAGUGAACAAAGGGGAUUUCUGUAGCUGCAUGCUAGGUAGCUACAACAUCAGUAAUCUCGAUAUACGUACAGUACUACAAGAUAGUGCCUCGAUCUGCCGGCAGUAGAGAGUGUGAUGCCGCAGCUAGCAGUCGGUGAUUUCUGACGUGGCAUCAUCAAGAUUCACACAUUACAUUGCAUGCAUGCAUAUGUCUAUGCAUCUUUGAGCUUGUUGUUCUGAUCUCAACAACCUAGCUAGCUAAUAUUUCUCUCCUGGCCCUGACCUGCAUGAUGCAUGGUUGCACGCAUGGAGAGAGAAGAGAGAGAUCGAAGCUAAUUAAACGCAUGUGUAUAUAUGUGUGGGAAUCUUGAUGAUGCUGCAUCGGAAAUUAAUGACUAAGCAUCAGCUUAAUUGUACCAACGCCGCCGGCGAGAGUGAUCCUCCCUCCCUCUUUCUGUGACACACUGACUAGCAGGUAAGAACUUAUUUCAAUAAACUUGUUUAUAUCUAGAUUGGCCAUAUAAUUUAGUGUAGGUUAAUUUGUGAAAUUAAUUCACUCACAUUUGAUUUUUUUUUUCAGUUGCAUAUAUGUAUUCCUUUUUGGAGGACUGGUUAUGACUUAGCUAAGCUAGCUAGGGAGGACUUCACAAGUCAUAACAAAUAAGUUGAAUGGUUAAACAUAUUUAAAAAGUAUAUGGUGCUAUAUAUUAAAAACAAAUUAAAUAGAGUAAGUUAUUACUGGUAUAACAUCAUUAUUUAGAAAAGAGAGAGAAAAAACAGUGUGCAAGUUAUACUCCACAGCAAGGAGCU